GCUGUAUAGAGGCUUUAUGUGCUCUUUCUUCUUUGCAAGUGCACAAGGAAGUAACUGAGAAACAAGCCAGCAGCAACACUUUCUAAGUCUACUACUGUUAAUUCUACUCAGUGAAACAGAUACUGAAUUUCUCCAGUGAAUUGUUGAUGUAAUCCAGACCAUCUCACAUAAUGCUUUUUGCAAUAUUCCAUGAGCAAUAAUAGCCUGGAACUUUUUGAAAUAAAAAGCGAAUUACCCGGCAUAUAAGUUUGUCAAAUUUGUUGAAAAACUGUUUGCUGCACUUGUGAGAGACAUUGUCACAUCCUUCUGUUUGCAGAAACUGUUCUAAUAACUGGAAGUUAUUUUUUCUUGUGGCAUCAUCUAUGCAUUUUUCCAACUGUCAAAGAAAACCAAAAAAACUAUAUUACUAUAUGCUGAGAUUUUAUAUUACUUUA